AUUGAACGCUGGCGGCAGGCCUAACACAUGCAAGUCGAGCGGCAGCGGAAGGAAGCUUGCUUUCUUGCCGGCGAGCGGCGGACGGGUGAGUAAGGUAUGGGGAUCUGGCCGAAGGCGGGGGAUAACCACUGGAAACGGUGGCUAAUACCGCAUAAUCUCUAAGGAGCAAAGUGGGGGACCGUUCAGGCCUCACACCUUCGGAUGAACCCAUAUGAGAUUAGCUAGUAGGUGGGGUAAUGGCUCACCUAGGCGACGAUCUCUAGCUGGUCUGAGAGGAUGAUCAGCCACACUGGGACUGAGACACGGCCCAGACUCCUACGGGAGGCAGCAGUGGGGAAUGUUGCACAAUGGGCGCAAGCCUGAUGCAGCCAUGCCGCGCGUAUGAAGAAGGCCUUCGGGUUGUAAAGUACUUUCAGUCGUGAGGAAGGUGUUAAGGUUAAUAACCUUAGCAAUUGACGUUAGCGACAGAAGAAGCACCGGCUAACUCCGUGCCAGCAGCCGCCGUAA
rnacentral:rRNA from 1 species